CUACUACCAUAAGUAACAUUGUGGCUUUGUGAGGUAACUCACAUCGAAUAACUCUUUUAAUUGUCGGGAAGGCUAAGGUUGACAGUUUUGGUAGACUGUUAUACUAUGCUAAUCCGCAGCGAAGCUUGUCAGGAAUUUUAGAGACAAGAACGUUCAGAGACUAAUUCACUUAAAACAAUCCAGCUAUAUGCGAGGAGAUACAUGAAAACUACCAAAAAGGAUCGAGACAUGCUGAUUGCCAUUACACUUGGCGAUGGAUGGUUAUCCAAGCAUGGUCAUCUCGAAGUGUGGCACUCUAUCCACCAGAAAGAGUACACAUUGAUGAAAUAUGAGAAGAUUAAGAAAUUUUGUCCAAGUGGUAUUUUAUACCGG
rnacentral:ncRNA from 1 species